rnacentral:rRNA from 1 species
AUCAGCAUGUCGCGGUGAAUACGUUCCCGGGCCUUGUACACACCGCCCGUCACACCAUGAGAGUUGGUAACACCCGAAGUCCGUGAGGUAACCGUAAGGAGCCAGCGGCCGAAGGUGGGAUUGAUGAUUGGGGUGAAGUCGUAACAAGGUAGCCGUAGGAGAACCUGCGGCUGGAUCACCUCCUUUCUAGGGAG